rnacentral:rRNA from 1 species
GGUUUACGGAAGUCAACCAGAAAGUCACGGCUAACUACGUGCCAGCAGCCGCGGAAUACGUAGGUGGGCAAGCGUUGUCCGGAGUUUAUUUGGGCGUAAAGCGAGCGCAGGCGAAUGAUAAGUCUGAUGUGAAAGCCCACGGCUCAACCGUGGAACUGCAUCGGAAACUGUCAUCUUGAGUGCAGAAGAGGAGAGUGGAACUCCAUGUGUAGCGGUGGAAUGCGUAGAUAUAUGGAAGAACACCAGUGGCGAAGGCGGCUCUCUGGUCUGCAACUGACGCUGAGGCUCGAAAGCAUGGGUAGCGAACAGGAUUAGAUACCCUGGUAGUCCAUGCCGUAAACGAUGAGCGCUAGGUGUUGGGGACUUUCCGGUCCUCAGUGCCGCAGCAAACGCAUUAAGCGCUCCCGCCUGGGGAGUACGACCGCAAAGGUUGAAACUCAAAGGAAUUGACGGGGGCCCGCACAAGCGGUGGAGCAUGUGGUUUAAUUCGAAGCAACGCGAAGAACCUUACCAGGUCUUGACAUCCU